CUGGUUUUUACACUUUACUUAUCAGUGCGUAAGCUGUUUUAAUUUAUUUCCUUUUUGUUGUGAAAGCAUACAAGCUUUAAGCAGCCAUGCCUAAAAGGAGCAAAGCUAACAAUGACACUGAAGCAGCCGGGAAACCCCAAACGCCAAAGUCUGAGCCCAAGCCAAAAGUGAAGAAGGCACCUGCAAAGGGCAAGAAGGCCAAGGAGGUAGAAAAGGCCAAACCAGAGGAGAAGAAAGAAGACGCAAAGCCAGAGACGGAGUCUGAGGAGGAAACUCCUGUGGAGAACGGAGAGGCCAAAGCUGAGGGGGACAAUGGAGAAGCAGGAGGCGAGGAGGAAAAGGCUGACUAGAAAGAGGGAGCUGCUAAAUAAGACGAAAACAUUUCACAAGAGCUCCCAUACCUCUUUUCUUGUACAAUACAGAGGAAUAUUUUUACUGACUAUUUUCUAAAAAGCAGGUUUUUUAGUAGUUCAAUAUUAGAAGCUCAUUUUAUAGACAACGAUCAAGAGAAAAGCCUUAGAAGAGGGAUUCCAUGGUCUCCCCACUCCAGUUUUUCCUGAAGAAGAAAAGCAGUCAUGAAACAACUAAUGACUUCCUCUUAUUA
ensembl:lncRNA